UUGGAGGGCAAGUCUGGUGCCAGCAGCCGCGGUAAUUCCAGCUCCAAUAGCGUAUAUUAAAGUUGUUGCAGUUAAAAAGCUCGUAGUUGAAUUUCGGGAUCAAUUUAUUGGUCGUGCCAACGGUACGCACUGGUACAAUUGGUUUCUCCCUUCUGACGAAGCAUGAUGUCAUUAAUUUGAUGUCGUGGGGAAUCAGGACUGUUACUUUGAAAAAAUUAGAGUGUUUAAAGCAGGCUUUGGCUUGAAUACAUUAGCAUGGAAUAAUGAAAUAGGACGUUUGAUCUUAUUUCGUUGGUUUCUAAGAUCGACGUAAUGAUUAAUAGGGAUAGUUGGGGGCAUUAGUAUUCAAUUGUCAGAGGUGAAAUUCUUGGAUUUAUUGAAGACUAACUACUGCGAAAGCAUUUGCCAAGGAUGUUUUCAUUAAUCAAGAACGAAAGUUAGGGGAUCGAAGACGAUCAGAUACCGUCGUGGUCUUAACCAUAAACUAUGCCGACUAGGGAUCGGAUGAUGUUAAUUUUUUAAUGACUCAUUCGGCGCCUUACGGGAAAC
rnacentral:rRNA from 1 species